CCUACGGGGGGCAGCAGUGGGGGAUAUUGCACAAUGGGGGGAACCCUGAUGCAGCGACGCCGCGUGGGUGAAGGAGUGCUUCGGCAUGUAAAGCCCUAUCGGCAGGGAAGAAGCAAGACGGUACCUGACUAAGAAGCCCCGGCUAACUACGUGCCAGCAGCCGCGGUAAUACGUAGGGGGCGAGCGUUAUCCGGAUUCACUGGGUGUAAAGGGAGCGUAGACGGCCAUGCAAGCCAGGGGUGAAAGCCCGGGGCGCAACCCCGGGACUGCCCUUGGAACUGCCUGGCUGGAGUGCGGGAGGGGCAGGCGGAAUUCCUGGUGUAGCGGUGAAAUGCGUAGAUAGCAGGAGGAACACCGGCGGCGAAGGCGGCCUGCUGGACCGCGACUGACGUUGAGGCUCGAAAGCGUGGGGAGCAAAUAGGAUUAGAUACCCCAGUAGUC
rnacentral:rRNA from 1 species